rnacentral:rRNA from 1 species
AGAAUGAACGCUGGCGGCGUGCUUUACACAUGCAAGUCGAGCGAGGCGGGGAGCAAUCCCCAGUCGAGCGGCGAACGGGUGAGUAACGCGUGGAUGACCUGCCCUUCAGCGGGGAAUAACCCGGGGAAACUCGGGCUAAUACCGCAUACGACCGAGAGGGUGGAAAGGGGGCCGCAAGGCUCUCACUGAAGGAGGGGUCCGCGUUCGAUUAGCUAGGUUGGUAGGGUAAU